rnacentral:rRNA from 1 species
CAGAGUAGUUAGCCUAACCGCAAGGAGGGCGAUUACCACGGUAGGGUUCAUGACUGGGGUGAAGUCGUAACAAGGUAGCCGUAUCGGAAGGUGCGGCUGGAUCACCUCCUUUA